AAUACUUGUAGAAAAUUUACGUAAAAUAAUAUGCCAUAUUACAGAAAAUUUAUAUUUGUGACACACAAGUGGACUACUAUAAUGUCCAUCACAAAAUUAAAUUAAAGAAGAAAUAAAAUGUCUUAAAUAUAAUUAACGCCGCAAAAUGAUAUCCGAACACGGAAAACUUCUUCUUCGCCUUGUGAGUGGAUGGUAGUCUACCUAUCCGAAGGAGCGACCUUCGAGGAUCUUUCAAACCAUAACCCCAUUUUCUGUCUUUGGCAUGUACAAGGCAAAACAAAAGCUUGGAAGCUGCAGAUAUCAGUCUCACCUACAAUGAUAAGACAACUAAACCAGUAACCAUGCGAAGACGAGAAGCUGACACUUAAGUUCUCUUGCCUUCACAAGAACAUCAAUUUUGUCACCUUAGUCAUGCUCGGUGAACCUGAGUACAUAUGAACAAAUACAACACACGUGUCAACAUCCCUAAAGUGAGAUAGAAAAAGAUCUAAAGAAUUCCCUAUAGAGAAUGACAUCAACUGCAACUCUUGAAACAAAUUAUGCAUUAUUUAAAUCAAAAGUUCUAUAAUUCCUUCUUCUAUAAAUGAACUAUUAUGCAAUUAGCACUACCCAAAAUUAUAUGCAGACACUACAAUUAACAAGACCUAAGCCUUGAAAGCAAAUUCUUGAAAAAGAAAACUCGAAAGAAAUUCCUUUUGAUCAUUUCCCACAAAAAGCUACGUGAAAUGUUUUCACAUUUAGUAGAUAAACCUUAACCGAAAGGGAAGUAGAUACAAGAGAAAAUUGGAAGUUGGAUCGGAGAAGAUCUGUGCCUGUGGAUUCUGAGCUUGGCCCUUAGGCAUGUGUAAUAAACCGUUCUCCUGCAAUUUCAAUUACAAAUGUUUCCCAUUUAGUAACGAUUGCAUAACUCAUUCGUGGCUAGCACCCACUCAGAAGGGCAUAACAAUAAAUAGAAAGUGUAUAAUAUAUAUAUGUCCAGAAAUAAUUCCACUGUUAAGAAACAGCAGAGUUUGAGGUUCAAACAUGCUUCACUUGUUCUAUUUGCUUACUCUUGAUAAUAUUCACUUUCUCUUUCUUAAUCUAAUCUUAACUACACUUACUGGUGUUCUUAAAACUAAUUACCGAGACCUAAAGAAGAAUAUUCAACUAAUCACCCCAUACUUAAAUCACCCCCAAAAACAUAAAUUCGAGUCUAUAAUCUCAACUAAACCACAAGCACCAGUAGGAAAAACACAUUGAGAAUACAAUUUCUCACCUCGUUGAUGUAGUAGUUCUUACGAGCACGAAACGACUUAACAGGGAUGAAAUUCGCGGCCGCCCUCAGAUUCUGUGCCCUAAAUUCCUAAUUAUCAGUUGCCUGUGAAACAAAAAAACCAAUUCGCAGAUUAAAUAAAUCGCCAUACACUAUUACGCGCCAGUACUCGAACAAAUAGCAAAAAACGAAUAAGAAAUUACCCUUGUUUGACAAUUUUGACAUCGGGAGUUU
rnacentral:lncRNA from 1 species